GGUGCGUGUUGAAGCAUAACGUAAGCGCGUGAUGAAAAAUAUAUAAAGGAAAAAAAUAAUAUACAAAAAAAAAAAAUAAGGAAAAAAGUGUAGAAAAAAAUAUAUAUGAAAGAAAAAAUUAUGAAAAUAUUAUAAAAGAAAUUAUAAAAUUAAAUAGAAAAGAAAUUUAAUAAAAAAAUUUUAAAUAAAAAUAAAUUUUAAUAAAUAAAAAGCUGCUAUACAAAAAGAAAAAAAUUUUCAGUUUUUGCUGUUUUUUCCCAAAUUCCUCUUUAACCAGGCUUUCAUAACAUAACCAGAGAAAAAAAAAUUUACUACAUAAAAGGUGUAGAAAAAAAAAAAGAAAUACCCCUCCAAAGAAGAAAAG